GAGCAGAGGAGAAAGAGAGAGCGGCGUAAAAGAGGAAAAGAAACGAAGAGAAAGGGGCUCGGAAGCGGCGUGUAGUAGAAGGUUGGGUAGCAUGGCUUAUUAGCAGUGAGGAAUAUUGGUCAAUAGCCUAACGGCUGACCCAGCAACUGGAAAGAAUGUAUAGCGAUUGCUAAUUGUUUCAUUCCACAAAAAAUGGAAGCAUUCUCGAUAUGAUCGAUUAAAUUCUUGGUAAAAUUAUGAUAAUGACAUUGUUUACUUAUGAGUCUUGACCAAAUUACGUGCCAGCAGUCGCGGUAAUACGUAGAAGACUAGUGUUAUUCAUCUUUAAUAGGUUUAAAGGGUACCUAGACGGCAUAUUAAACCUUAUGUGGAACUGGUAUGCUAGAGUUACUUAUGAGGAAGUUUUAAAGUACUAGAGGUGUAGAGAUAAAAUUCAGUUAUCCUUUUUUCUAAGAAAAAACAUCGGCACAGAUAUAGGUGAAAACAUCUUCUUAUGGGAUAACUGACGUUGAGGGACGAAGGCUUUUUAUAGCGAACAGGAUUAGAUACCCUGGUAGUCAGAGCAGAAAACGAUGAGUGUCAUAGAUUAGAUAAGUAUUUAUUCUAUAAAUGAAAAUGUAAACACUCCACCUCAAGAGUAAUUUGGCAACAUUGGAACUGAAAUCAUUAGACCGUGUCUGAAACCAGUAGUGAAGUAUGUUGUUUAAUUUGAUAAUCCGCAAAAAACCUUACCACAGCUUGAAUAUCUAUUUACUUACUUUUAUUACAUGACUUGUGAGCAAUGUUAUGUAUAACUACGAUUGCUUUUUAUACAAUCGUGUCAAUAGAUGAAAUAAUAUAGGUACAAGUGUUGCACGGCUGUCUUAAGUUAAUGUCGUAAGACUUUGGUUAGCUCCAGUAAAUUAACGCAAACCCUUGCUCUAGUUUUAAGUAGAGUAGUUCUCCACCAUAUUGUAUAAGAUAACAGGGAUCUAUAGCAGUGAGGAAUUUUGUUUU
rnacentral:rRNA from 1 species